rnacentral:tRNA from 1 species
AAGAAUUUAAGUUAAAAAAACUAUUGACCUUCAAAGUCAAAUUUAAAUAUUAAAGUUUAAUUCUUA